GCAAGCUUAAGAAAAUCCGUUUCUUCAGGAGCAACUCUACUUUUGGAAGAAGGUUUUCACAAGUAGAAUAGUUUGUUUGGAUAAAAGAUUUUCCCAAGAUCUCUGGCAGUCAUUACCAAUAUUUAUUUUCAGACAACAGUACUAUGUUAGAACAGUAAAACCAGAGCUAUUCCAAGAGAGCGGGGGAACAGAUGUAGACAGAGCAAAGCAACGAGCUUGGUGUGCGUACCCAUGGACACCAGGAAGAUGGAAAGUGGAGAAGCCUAUGAGAGGGGAGAAAAGAAAACAAAGCCUGGUCAAGCACAAAAGAAAGGAAACAGCAGAAGCACCCAGGGAAGGGGACAUCUUUUCUCCUGAGUUGGUUCAGCCCCUUACCAAGAGGCUCAAACCCUGAAUGGAACCUCCAGGCAUUACACAAUGCCCUUACUCAAUCUUCUCUUCAAAGGGUUGCUCAGGCUCUACCAGAAAACAUCACCAAAGGCUCAAGAAUUGCUCCUGUUUACGAGGACCACAGGUCUACGAAACACCUGCUCAAACUGGCUUUUGCAUAGGAAAAAGUAACUGAGAUACUGACAACUUAAGAGCAGUGAAAGACCUAAAUGGAGAGUUACAGCAGACCAGUGGGAAAUGCAAGUGAGAAAGCAGCAGGGACAAAAAGGGAAAAAAAUUGUACCAUCUCUAGUUUUGAAGUUGCAAAUAAUAAAUUACCAAUACUAACUAAA